AGAGUUUGAUCCUGGCUCAGAUUGAACGCUGGCGGCAUGCUUUACACAUGCAAGUCGAACGGUAACAGGUCUUCGGAUGCUGACGAGUGGCGAACGGGUGAGUAAUACAUCGGAACGUGCCUAGUAGUGGGGGAUAACUACUCGAAAGAGUAGCUAAUACCGCAUGAGAUCUACGGAUGAAAGCAGGGGACCUUCGGGCCUUGUGCUACUAGAGCGGCUGAUGGCAGAUUAGGUAGUUGGUGGGGUAAAGGCUUACCAAGCCUGCGACCUGUAGCUGGUCUGAGAGGACGACCAGCCACACUGGGACUGAGACACGGCCCAGACUCCUACGGGAGGCAGCAGUGGGGAAUUUUGGACAAUGGGCGAAAGCCUGAUCCAGCAAUGCCGCGUGCAGGAUGAAGGCCCUCGGGUUGUAAACUGCUUUUGUACGGAACGAAAAGCCUGGGGCUAAUAUCCCCGGGUCAUGACGGUACCGUAAGAAUAAGCACCGGCUAACUACGUGCCAGCAGCCGCGGUAAUACGUAGGGUGCAAGCGUUAAUCGGAAUUACUGGGCGUAAAGCGUGCGCAGGCGGUUUUGUAAGACAGUGGUGAAAUCCCCGGGCUCAACCUGGGAACUGCCAUUGUGACUGCAAGGCUAGAGUGCGGCAGAGGGGGAUGGAAUUCCGCGUGUAGCAGUGAAAUGCGUAGAUAUGCGGAGGAACACCGAUGGCGAAAGCAAUCCCCUGGGCCUGCACUGACGCUCAUGCACGAAAGCGUGGGGAGCAAACAGGAU
rnacentral:rRNA from 1 species